CCUACGGGGGGCAGCAGUGAGGAAUAUUGGUCAAUGGGCGGAAGCCUGAACCAGCCAAGUAGCGUGCAGGAUGACGGCCCUACGGGUUGUAAACUGCUUUUAUACGGGAAUAAUGCGCCUUACGUGUAGGGCUUUGCAUGUACCGUAUGAAUAAGGACCGGCUAAUUCCGUGCCAGCAGCCGCGGUAAUACGGAAGGUCCGGGCGUUAUCCGGAUUUAUUGGGUUAAAAGGGAGCGUAGGCCGCAUUUCAAGCGUGCUGUGAAAGUUCGGGGCUCAACCCGGGCCUUGAAGGGCGAACUGGCGUGCUGGGGUCCGCGGAAAGCAGGCGGAAUUCGUGGUGUAGCGGUGAAUGCUUAGAUAUGACGAAGAACCCCGAUUGCGAAGGCAGCUUGCUGCAGCGGAACUGACGCUGAUGCUCGAAAGCGCGGGUAUCGAACAGGAUUAGAUACCCUUGUAGUC
rnacentral:rRNA from 1 species